CAAUCAUCCAGACCAGGAGAAAGAGUCAAACUUGAGCCUCUCAAAGCCUCCUAAGAUGAAGACGUUCAGUGUUGCAGUUGCAGUGGCCGUCGUGCUCACAUUCAUCUGUGUUCAGCAGAGCUCUGCUGUCCCAGUCACUGAACAGGAGCUGGAGGAGCCAAUGAGCAUGGACUAUCCAGCA